CCAGCAGCCGCGGUAAGUACGGAGGGUGCGAGCGUUAAUCGGAAUUACUGGGCGUAAAGCGCAUGCAGGCGGCCGUGUUAAGUCGGAUGUGAAAGACCCGGGGCGUUAACCUCGGAAUUGCAUUUGAAACUAGGCAGGCUAGAGUCUUGUAGAGGGGGGUAGGGAAGUUUACUAGGUGUAGCGGUGAAAUAGCGUAGAGAUCUGAAGGAAUACCAGUGGCGAAGGCGGCCCCCUCGGACAAAGACUGACGCUCAGAUGCGAAAGCGUGGGGAGCAAACAGGAUUAGAUACCCUGGUAG
rnacentral:rRNA from 1 species